rnacentral:rRNA from 1 species
UUAAGCGACUAAGCGUACACGGUGGAUGCCCUGGCAGUCAGAGGCGAUGAAGGACGUGCUAAUCUGCGAUAAGCGUCGGUAAGGUGAUAUGAACCGUUAUAACCGGCGAUUUCCGAAUGGGGAAACCCAGUGUGUUUCGACACACUAUCAUUAACUGAAUCCAUAGGUUAAUGAGGCGAACCGGGGGAACUGAAACAUCUAAGUACCCCGAGGAAAAGAAAUCAACCGAGAUUCCCCCAGUAGCGGCGAGCGAACGGGGAGGAGCCCAGAGCCUGAAUCAGUGUGUGUGUUAGUGGAAGCGUCUGGAAAGGCGCGCGAUACAGGGUGACAGCCCCGUACACAAAAUGCACAUGCUGUGAGCUCGAUGAGUAGGGCGGGACACGUGGUAUCCUGUCUGAAUAUGGGGGGACCAUCCUCCAAGGCUAAAUACUCCUGACUGACCGAUAGUGAACCAGUACCGUGAGGGAAAGGCGAAAAGAACCCCGGCGAGGGGAGUGAAAAAGAACCUGAAACCGUGUACGUACAAGCAGUGGGAGCACAGAGCAAUCUGUGUGACUGCGUACCUUUUGUAUAAUGGGUCAGCGACUUAUAUUCUGUAGCAAGGUUAACCGAAUAGGGGAGCCGAAGGGAAACCGAGUCUUAACUGGGCGUUAAGUUGCAGGGUAUAGACCCGAAACCCGGUGAUCUAGCCAUGGGCAGGUUGAAGGUUGGGUAACACUAACUGGAGGACCGAACCGACUAAUGUUGAAAAUUAGCGGAUGACUUGUGGCUGGGGGUGAAAGGCCAAUCAAACCGGGAGAUAGCUGGUUCUCCCCGAAAGCUAUUUAGGUAGCGCCUCGUGAAUUCAUCUCCGGGGGUAGAGCACUGUUUCGGCAAGGGGGUCAUCCCGACUUACCAACCCGAUGCAAACUGCGAAUACCGGAGAAUGUUAUCACGGGAGACACACGGCGGGUGCUAACGUCCGUCGUGAAGAGGGAAACAACCCAGACCGCCAGCUAAGGUCCCAAAGUCAUGGUUAAGUGGGAAACGAUGUGGGAAGGCCCAGACAGCCAGGAUGUUGGCUUAGAAGCAGCCAUCAUUUAAAGAAAGCGUAAUAGCUCACUGGUCGAGUCGGCCUGCGCGGAAGAUGUAACGGGGCUAAACCAUGCACCGAAGCUGCGGCAGCGACACUGUGUGUUGUUGGGUAGGGGAGCGUUCUGUAAGCCUGUGAAGGUGUGCUGUGAGGUAUGCUGGAGGUAUCAGAAGUGCGAAUGCUGACAUAAGUAACGAUAAAGCGGGUGAAAAGCCCGCUCGCCGGAAGACCAAGGGUUCCUGUCCAACGUUAAUCGGGGCAGGGUGAGUCGACCCCUAAGGCGGGGCCGAAAGGCGUAGUCGAUGGGAAACAGGUUAAUAUUCCUGUACUUGGUGUUACUGCGAAGGGGGGACGGAGAAGGCUAUGUUGGCCGGGCGACGGUUGUCCCGGUUUAAGCGUGUAGGCUGGUUUUCCAGGCAAAUCCGGAAAAUCAAGGCUGAGGCGUGAUGACGAGGCACUACGGUGCUGAAGCAACAAAUGCCCUGCUUCCAGGAAAAGCCUCUAAGCAUCAGGUAACAUCAAAUCGUACCCCAAACCGACACAGGUGGUCAGGUAGAGAAUACCAAGGCGCUUGAGAGAACUCGGGUGAAGGAACUAGGCAAAAUGGUGCCGUAACUUCGGGAGAAGGCACGCUGAUAUGUAGGUGAAGUCCCUCGCGGAUGGAGCUGAAAUCAGUCGAAGAUACCAGCUGGCUGCAACUGUUUAUUAAAAACACAGCACUGUGCAAACACGAAAGUGGACGUAUACGGUGUGACGCCUGCCCGGUGCCGGAAGGUUAAUUGAUGGGGUCAGCGCAAGCGAAGCUCUUGAUCGAAGCCCCGGUAAACGGCGGCCGUAACUAUAACGGUCCUAAGGUAGCGAAAUUCCUUGUCGGGUAAGUUCCGACCUGCACGAAUGGCGUAAUGAUGGCCAGGCUGUCUCCACCCGAGACUCAGUGAAAUUGAACUCGCUGUGAAGAUGCAGUGUACCCGCGGCAAGACGGAAAGACCCCGUGAACCUUUACUAUAGCUUGACACUGAACAUUGAGCCUUGAUGUGUAGGAUAGGUGGGAGGCUUUGAAGUGUGGACGCCAGUCUGCAUGGAGCCGACCUUGAAAUACCACCCUUUAAUGUUUGAUGUUCUAACGUGGACCCGUGAUCCGGGUUGCGGACAGUGUCUGGUGGGUAGUUUGACUGGGGCGGUCUCCUCCUAAAGAGUAACGGAGGAGCACGAAGGUUGGCUAAUCCUGGUCGGACAUCAGGAGGUUAGUGCAAUGGCAUAAGCCAGCUUGACUGCGAGCGUGACGGCGCGAGCAGGUGCGAAAGCAGGUCAUAGUGAUCCGGUGGUUCUGAAUGGAAGGGCCAUCGCUCAACGGAUAAAAGGUACUCCGGGGAUAACAGGCUGAUACCGCCCAAGAGUUCAUAUCGACGGCGGUGUUUGGCACCUCGAUGUCGGCUCAUCACAUCCUGGGGCUGAAGUAGGUCCCAAGGGUAUGGCUGUUCGCCAUUUAAAGUGGUACGCGAGCUGGGUUUAGAACGUCGUGAGACAGUUCGGUCCCUAUCUGCCGUGGGCGCUGGAGAACUGAGGGGGGCUGCUCCUAGUACGAGAGGACCGGAGUGGACGCAUCACUGGUGUUCGGGUUGUCAUGCCAAUGGCACUGCCCGGUAGCUAAAUGCGGAAGAGAUAAGUGCUGAAAGCAUCUAAGCACGAAACUUGCCCCGAGAUGAGUUCUCCCUGACCCUUUAAGGGUCCUGAAGGAACGUUGAAGACGACGACGUUGAUAGGCCGGGUGUGUAAGCGCAGCGAUGCGUUGAGCUAACCGGUACUAAUGAACCGUGAGGCUUAACCUU